rnacentral:rRNA from 1 species
UACGUAGGGUGCAAGCGUUAAUCGGAAUUACUGGGCGUAAAGAGUGCGUAGGCGGCUAUGUAAGUCAGAUGUGAAAUCCCUGGGCUUAACCUAGGAACUGCAUUUGUGACUGUAUGGCUAGAGUGUGGUAGAGGGAGAUGGAAUUCCGCAUGUAGCAGUGAAAUGCGUAGAUAUGCGGAGGAACACCAAUGGCGAAGGCAAUCUCCUGGACCUGCACUGACGCUCAUGCACGAAAGCGUGGGGAGCAAACAGG